AACGAACGCUGGCGGCAUGCCUAACACAUGCAAGUCGAACGAGACCUUCGGGUCUAGUGGCGCACGGGUGCGUAACGCGUGGGAACCUGCCCUUAGGUUCGGAAUAACUCCCCGAAAGGGGUGCUAAUACCGGAUAAUGUCUUCGGACCAAAGAUUCAUCGCCUUUGGAUGGGCCCGCGUUGGAUUAGCUAGUUGGUAGGGUAAAAGCCUACCAAGGCGACGAUCCAUAGCUGGUCUGAGAGGAUGAUCAGCCACACUGGGACUGAGACACGGCCCAGACUCCGACGGGAGGCAGCAGUGGGGAAUAUUGGACAAUGGGCGAAAGCCGGAUCCAGCAGUGCCGCGUGAGUGAUGAAGGCCUUAGGGUUGUAAAGCUCUUUUACCCGGGAUGAUAAUGACAGUACCGGGAGAAUAAGCUCCGGCUAACUCCGUG
rnacentral:rRNA from 1 species